GAUGGGAGCUUGCUCCCUGAUGUUAGCGGCGGACGGGUGAGUAACACGUGGGUAACCUGCCUGUAAGACUGGGAUAACUCCGGGAAACCGGGGCUAAUACCGGAUGCUUGUUUGAACCGCAUGGUUCAAACAUAAAAGGUGGCUUCGGCUACCACUUACAGAUGGACCCGCGGCGCAUUAGCUAGUUGGUGAGGUAAUGGCUCACCAAGGCAACGAUGCGUAGCCGACCUGAGAGGGUGAUCGGCCACACUGGGACUGAGACACGGCCCAGACUCCUACGGGAGGCAGCAGUAGGGAAUCUUCCGCAAUGGACGAAAGUCUGACGGAGCAACGCCGCGUGAGUGAUGAAGGUUUUCGGAUCGUAAAGCUCUGUUGUUAGGGAAGAACAAGUGCCGUUCAAAUAGGGCGGCACCUUGACGGUACCUAACCAGAAAGCCACGGCUAACUACGUGCCAGCAGCCGCGGUAAUACGUAGGUGGCAAGCGUUGUCCGGAAUUAUUGGGCGUAAAGGGCUCGCAGGCGGUUUCUUAAGUCUGAUGUGAAAGCCCCCGGCUCAACCGGGGAGGGUCAUUGGAAACUGGGGAACUUGAGUGCAGAAGAGGAGAGUGGAAUUCCACGUGUAGCGGUGAAAUGCGUAGAGAUGUGGAGGAACACCAGUGGCGAAGGCGACUCUCUGGUCUGUAACUGACGCUGAGGAGCGAAAGCGUGGGGAGCGAACAGGAUUAGAUACCCUGGUAGUCCACGCCGUAAACGAUGAGUGCUAAGUGUUAGGGGGUUUCCGCCCCUUAGUGCUGCAGCU
rnacentral:rRNA from 1 species